rfam:Ovis aries breed Texel chromosome 12, whole genome shotgun sequence.
UCCCUGGUGGCUCAGAGGUUAAAGCAUCUGCCUCCAAUUCAGGAGACCUGGGUUCGAUCCCUGGGUCGGGAA